AAGCUGCGAAGAUGGCGGAGUAAGGCGUGCCGCUGCAAACUGGCCUCUGGGCCGGGGGCGAGCAGCCCCCGGGAGGCCGAGUGCAUCUGUUGGACCGUGCGAGGAGAAGAAAAAAAAUAUCGGCCAGAGGAGAGGAACUAACCGAACAUUCUUCCUCCCUACCUUAUAGAGGGGAGUGGUCAUCUACACUAAAGCAAAGUGUUAGGCGCGUCCGUGCGAAGAGACCACCAAACAGGCUUUGUGUUCCUUAUCACAGGAAGAAAAUUUUCCUUGACCUUUAGGUGCUUUUAUAUUCAUCUCAAAAACAAAAUUCUGAACUCAGGACUUGGCAAGUAAGUAAUUGUGGGCUAAUCGUUCCAAAUACUGUUUAAGUAGCUUGAAAACAGGUACAUAGAAGUGGAACAAUAAGCCGUUAGCUUCAGCAGAAGACGAACAUGAAAAAUGACUGUAAGCUAUUGAAAUUUAAGUUAAAUCUUUUAUUUUUCAACAAAAGAAAUGUAUUAAAUAAAAAGGAGUAAUCUUGAUCAUUUGCUCAAACUACCAAUAAUUUUCACUGUCUAAAGAAAACAGACACAUAUUUAAUUAGAUUGAAGGAAAUCAAAUGAUUAAAAAAUAGGCCUGGCCCGGUGGCUCACGCCUGUAAUCCCAGCAGUUUGGGAGGCCGAGGUGGGCAGAUACUUGAGGUCAGGAGUUUGAGACCAGCCUGGGCAACAUGGGGGAACCCUAUCUCUACAAAAAAUACAAAAAUUAAGCAGGUGUGGUGGCACGCGCCUGUAAUCCCAGCUACUUGGGAGACUGAGGCAGGAGAAUUGCUUGAACUUGGGAGGCGGAGGCUGCAGCGAGCCGAGAUUGCGCCACUGCGCUCCAUCCUGGGCCACAGAGACAGACUCCAUCUCACCCAAAAAUAACGAUUAAAAAAAAAUGUUACUGGGUGGUUUUAUUUAAAUAAAUUUUGUGUAUAUUUCAGGUAUACAACAUGAUGUUUUGGGAUGCAUAUAGAUAGUAAAAAGGUUUCUACAGUGAAGUAAAUUAACAUCCAUUGUCUCACAUAGCUAUUUUGUUUUUGUGGCAACAGCUAAAAUCUCAUUUAGCAUGGAUCCUGUUUACAGUAUAAUUUUAUUACCUAUAGUUGUCAUGUUGUACAUUAGAUCGUUAGACUUGUUCAGCCUACGUACCUGUUCCUUUAUAUUCUCUGACCUAUAUCUCUUCCUUUACUAACUCCCACAUCACUGUUUUGUUCUCUAACUCUGUAUAUUUGAUUUUUUAAAAAAAUUUCACAUGUAAAUGAGAUUGUGCAAUGUUUUUCUUUCAGUCCUCCUGACUCAUCUAUGCUGUGACAAAUGGCAAAAUAUUUUGUUUUUUUUUUUUUUUGAGACAGUCUUGCUGUCUUAGCACUUGCUCUGUCACUGCACUCAGGCUGGAGUGCAGUGGUGCUAUCUCAGCUCACUGCAACCUCUGCCUCCCUAAUUCAAGCGAUUCUUUUGCCUCUGCCUCCCAAGUAGCCAGGAUUACAGGUGUGCGCCACCACGCCUGGUUAAUUUUUAUAUUUUUUUAGUAGAGACAGGAUUUCACCAUUUUGGCCAGGCUGGUCUCAAACUCUUGACUUAAUCCCAAAGUGCUGGGAUUACAGGCAUAUGCCACUGCGCCUGGCCAAGAUCUCAUUCUUUUUUAGGGCUGAGUAACAUAUGCCAUCAUAUAUAUGCACUGUAGUUUCUACAGUUUAUCCAUUCAUCCAUUGAUGAUGGACAGUUAGGUUUUUUCUGUAUCUUGGCUAUUGUGAAUAAUGUUCCACUGAACAUAGGAGUGCAGACAUCUUUAUGAAGUGAUUUCAUGUUUUUUGGUUAUAUGCCCAGAAGAGGGAGUGCUGGGUUAUGUGGUGGUUCCAUUUUUAAUUUCUUUAGAAACCUCCCAGCUGGGCGCGGUGGCUCAUGCCUGUAAUCCUGGCUACUCAGGAGGCUGUGGCAGGAGUAUCGCUUGAACCUGGGAGGCGGAGGUUGCCAUGAGCCAAGAUCGCGCCACUGCACUCCAGCCUGGGCUACAGAGUGAGAUUCCGUCUCAAAAAAAAAUUUCCAUACUGUUUUUCCAUAGUGGCUGUUCUGAUCUACACUCCCGCGAACAGUUAAUAAUAAUUCAUUCUUCUCUUAAACGAGGCAAAUUUUGGAAUAUAUUUAUUUAAUUUUUUUUUUGAGACAGAAGUUUUGCUCUUGUCGCCCAGGCUGGAGUGCAAUGGC
rnacentral:lncRNA from 1 species